UGUUAAUUCAUUUUGACAUUUAGUAUUUUACUUAAUCGUCUUCCUACGUCAAGUUUGGACAAAAUACCCAAUAAUAAUUUAAGUAGAAAGCGAAAUUUAUAAAGCAGAAAUCAGCAAACAAGUUUAUAGAUUUCACUUUCAUAAAAUUCAUGUAAAAGAUGAUAUUUUCAGGAGACGGUGUUACUAUCAGGACGUGGUGGGAGGGCGAAUGGCCUCGCUGUUUCUAUAAAAUGCCACGAAUGUCCUAUGAAGGUAACACAACGUGGCGAGAUCAUACCGCCACUAAAUUAAGCAUGUAAUCCCAUCGACUCGAUACACUUGUCGUAAGUGUCAGAGGUAAGUUUCUUAUUUUCAAGCACUUUUUGAGAAUUAACUUGGUGAGACCCGAGGUUCCGGAAUAUAUAAGGCUGUCUCAGAAACUUACUGUUGGAUUUCGAAUAUACCGAGCCGAAUGCCAAGCGACUGCUUUACAACAGUUAAUCAGGGAAAUUGGACUAUUUUUAUUAUUUGUAAGAAUUUUCCCGUUCGAAAGUAAACAUAUCUAUUGUUAUUACUGUUAGUAAACAUAUGUUGAUAAUUAAAUUGAUAAAAUUAUAUGGAAAAAUAGUGAAACUUCCUUUACCAAUUUGACAUUCUGAUGCGGUGUCUACGCCUGAUUCUGUAGGAAAUAGAUACUGUAUAAGUUUACAGUAGGUGUGAAGGUACUGUACGUAAGUAUUAAUUUUGAGAUAAGAACUUUUAUUUUCAGGUAAUUGUGAUACUAUGAGGAUGUGGUGGGUAGCGAAGUGGCGACGCUAUUUCUAGAAAAUGCCACAAAAAUCCUAAGACGGUAGCAAAAUAUGGCGAGUACGUGCCACCAUUAAAUAAGCACGCGCCUCUCGGCCUUUGUGGGCACGGCCAGGUGCCACCGAGCGCGUCCACGGGUUGCGGAUAGUGGAACGACCUCGAAAGAGCUAUUUACCAACAGUUGAUUUUGUUAUGUCGACGAGCAAGCAAGAAAUUCGUUGGGUCUUUGUUCGAUGUUCUGUUGGUCGAGAAGGACGCGACUAGGGUCCAGUCCUAACAGUUGUAGCAGUCAAUCUUCUAUUUCUUUGUAACUGACCGAGUUUAAAAUAAGUAACAACGAGGGUGCUUUACAUAUUUCAUAUUUGGAUGCUUGCUGUUGAGUAGACGACAUAGAAGAUCGUCUCUGCGCAUUUGUGUCGUAGUAAUUGCCGCUGUUGUUAAUUAAGCAGAUCAUUUCUUAUUGGAUAUUGGCAUAUAUUUGGAAUGAAUCCAGAUAAGUUGUUGUAACUCUGUAACACAGUACAAAUUGUUCCUAAAAAGAAAAGAAAUAUUAAUAACAAAUAAUUCGGUAAGUAACAGAAUAUAAUUUGUUUUAGUUCAAAACUUA